CAGUCGCCGCGGUAAUACGGAGGGAGCUAGCGUUGUUCGGAAUUACUGGGCGUAAAGCGCGCGUAGGCGGUUACUCAAGUCAGAGGUGAAAGCCCGGGGCUCAACCCCGGAACUGCCUUUGAAACUAAAUGACUAGAAUCUUGGAGAGGUCAGUGGAAUUCCGAGUGUAGAGGUGAAAUUCGUAGAUAUUCGGAAGAACACCAGUGGCGAAGGCGACUGGCUGGACAAGUAUUGACGCUGAGGUGCGAAAGCGUGGGGAGCAAACAGGAUUAGAUACCCCGGUAGUCCCUGUCUCUUAUAC
rnacentral:rRNA from 1 species